rnacentral:rRNA from 1 species
GACGAACCUUGCUAACGUUAUUCGGAAUUAUUGGGCGUAAAGGGCGCGUAGGCGGCUGAACAAGUCAAAGGUGAAAUCCCUCGGCUCAACUGAGGAACUGCCUUUGAAACUGUUCGGCUUGAGGCCGGGAGGGGGUAGCGGAAUUCCCAGUGUAGCGGUGAAAUGCGUAGAUAUUGGGAGGAACACCAGUGGCGAAGGCGGCUACCUGGACCGGUUCUGACGCUGAGGCGCGAAAGCGUGGGUAGCAAACAGG